UAUAUGUGUGUGUGUGUGUG
rnacentral:miRNA from 1 species